rnacentral:rRNA from 1 species
AGCGACCGUCAAAUCGGGCCAUCACACAGGUGCUGCAUGGCUGUCGUCAGCUCGUGCCGUGAGGUGUUGGGUUCAGUCCCGCAACGAGCGCAACCCUCGCCCUUUGUUGCCAUCGGGUAAAGCCGGGCACUCUAAGGGGACUGCCAGCGACAAGUUGGAGGAAGGAGAGGAUGACGUCAAGUCAUCAUGGCCUUUAUGCCUAGGGCCACACACGUGCAACAAUGGCCGGUACAGACGGAGGCAAUGCCGAGAGGCGGAGCAAACCCGAGAAAACCGGUCCCAGUUCGGAUUGAGGUCUGCAACUCGACCUCAUGAAGUCGGAAUCGCUAGUAAUCGCAUAUCAGAACGAUGCGGUGAAUACGUUCCCGGGCCUUGUACACACCGCCCGUCACACCACGAAAGUUUGUUGUACCCGAAGUCGGUGCCUUAACCUCGCAAG